AAUACUUAGGAAUCUACCUAGUAGUGGGGGAUAGCUCGGGGAAACUCGAAUUAAUACCGCAUACGACCUACGGGAGAAAGGGGGCACUUGUUGCUCUCGCUAUUAGAUGAGCCUAAGUCGGAUUAGCUAGAUGGUGGGGUAAAGGCCUACCAUGGCGACGAUCUGUAGCUGGUCUGAGAGGAUGAUCAGCCACACCGGGACUGAGACACGGCCCGGACUCCUACGGGAGGCAGCAGUGGGGAAUAUUGGACAAUGGGGGAAACCCUGAUCCAGCCAUGCCGCGUGUGUGAAGAAGGCCUUUUGGUUGUAAAGCACUUUAAGCAGUGAAGAAGACUCUUCGGUUAAUACCCGGAGACGAUGACAUUAGCUGCAGAAUAAGCACCGGCUAACUCUGUGCCAGCAGCCGCGGUAAUACAGAGGGUGCAAGCGUUAAUCGGAAUUACUGGGCGUAAAGCGAGCGUAGGUGGCUUGAUAAGUCAGAUGUGAAAUCCCCGGGCUUAACCUGGGAACUGCAUCUGAUACUGUCAGGCUAGAGUAGGUGAGAGGAAGGUAGAAUUCCAGGUGUAGCGGUGAAAUGCGUAGAGAUCUGGAGGAAUACCGAUGGCGAAGGCAGCCUUCUGGCAUCAUACUGACACUGAGGCUCGAAAGCGUGGGUAGCAAACAGGAUUAGAUACCCUGGUAGUCCACGCCGUAAACGAUGUCUACUAGUCGUUGGGUCCCUUGAGGACUUAGUGACGCAGCUAACGCAAUAAGUAGACCGCCUGGGGAGUACGGCCGCAAGGUUAAAACUCAAAUGAAUUGACGGGGGCCCGCACAAGCGGUGGAGCAUGUGGUUUAAUUCGAUGCAACGCGAAGAACCUUACCUGGUCUUGACAUAUCUAGAAUCCUGCAGAGAUGCGGGAGUGCCUUCGGGAAUUAGAAUACAGGUGCUGCAUGGCUGUCGUCAGCUCGUGUCGUGAGAUGUUGGGUUAAGUCCCGCAACGAGCGCAACCCUUGUCCUUAGUUACCAGCGGGUUAAGCCGGGAACUCUAAGGAUACUGCCAGUGACAAACUGGAGGAAGGCGGGGACGACGUCAAGUCAUCAUGGCCCUUACGACCAGGGCUACACACGUGCUACAAUGGUAGGUACAGAGGGCAGCUACACAGCGAUGUGAUGCGAAUCUCAAAAAGCCUAUCGUAGUCCAGAUUGGAGUCUGCAACUCGACUCCAUGAAGUAGGAAUCGCUAGUAAUCGCGGAUCAGAAUGCCGCGGUGAAUACGUUCCCGGGCCUUGUACACA
rnacentral:rRNA from 1 species